rnacentral:tRNA from 1 species
UAUAAAGUAAGCUAAAUAUAUAAGCUAGUGGGUUCAUACCCCAAAUAUGAUAAAUAUAUCCUUUAUUA